AGAAAAGUAGUGCAAAAAAUAAGGAAAAUAGAAAGAAAUUGAAGAUCACACAUUGUGCUGGGACAAAGGCCUUUAGUCGUAUUAGAUAUGAAAAUAGAAAUUCUGAAACUGGAGAAGAACCUAGCCGCAUAGACUUGUUUCAGCUCAUCAGAUUUAGCACAAAGAAAACAACAUGGGUUGGCGAAGAUGCCAAGAAUGCUUUUGAGCAGGUCCGAAACCCAAAACAUUUAAAGCUGGACAAUGCAGUCAUGCAACAGUUGAGGAGGCUAAAAGAAGGGCAGAUGAGGCAACUAAAAGGGCUGAUGAUGCAGAGAAACAAUGUAUGCUUCUAGCAAAUGAGUUAACAGAAAUGAAGGAGAAUUCUGCUGCACAAAAGUAUCAGUUAGCAGGUUUACAGGCAAGGCAAAAUGAGACGGAUGAACUAGUAAAAAGAUUGCUGCAGCAGUUAUCCUCGACUUCGUCAUCAAUGAGAUCUGAUGGAUAAAGGGUAGAAGACAAUCUACUAGUGAUGAAUCUUAUGUUAUUUGUUUUUGGGAAUCACUUGACAUUUAUGUUGAACUUAAAUAUCUAGUAUUUUGUUUUUGAGACAUCUUGUGAAUUUGUUGGAAGAAUGUUAGAUAUAUGGAUUGCUUUUGAACGCAAUGAAUUAUUUGAUGCUA